GCUCUUUAGCUCAGUCAACAGAGCAUGAGACUCUUAAUCUCAGAGUUGUGGGUUCAAGCCCCACGUUGGACG